rnacentral:rRNA from 1 species
AUGGCCGUGGUGACGACGUUGGCAACUGCGGCGGUGCCCGAGGCUGAGCCAAGUGCGGCGGCUUCUGUCAGAGUGGCCGAUAAACCAGAUGGAGACAGAGCUACCAAGUGGGCCCGUAAGAAGGAGAAGAUGUUGUAUUAUUGCUGUGGUGAGCAGGGGCACUUUAUUGCUGAGUGCGUUACUGAGCUUUGUGACACCUGCCUCAAGCCGGUGCACGCUAUGGGGGAGUGCCCGCUAUUGCAUGAACCGUUGCCGGGAGUUACCAUCUAUGGAGUGUGCUGUUGGAAAUAUGCCCUAGAGGCAAUAAUAAAAGGAUUAUUAUUAUAUUUCCUUGUUCAUGAUAAUUGUCUUUUAUUCAUGCUAUAA